rnacentral:rRNA from 1 species
ACGCUCGACACCUACAGGCAGCAGUGGGGAAUAUUGCACAAUGGGGGAAACCCUGAUGCAGCGACGCCGCGUGAGCGAAGAAGUAUUUCGGUAUGUAAAGCUCUAUCAGCAGGGAAGAAACUGACGGUACCUGACUAAGAAGCACCGGCUAAAUACGUGCCNGCAGCCGCGUAAUCUGAGCGGGCGUGGCAAGGC